UGGGGAAUAUUGGACAAUGGGGGAAACCCUGAUCCAGCGACGCCGCGUGAGGGAUGACGGCCUUCGGGUUGUAAACCUCUUUCAGCAGGGACGAAGCGCAAGUGACGGUACCUGCAGAAGAAGCACCGGCCAACUACGUGCCAGCAGCCGCGGUAAUACGUAGGGUGCGAGCGUUGUCCGGAAUUAUUGGGCGUAAAGGGCUCGUAGGCGGUCUGUCACGUCGGGAGUGAAAACACGGGGCUUAACUCCGUGCCUGCUUCCGAUACGGGCUGACUAGAGGUAUGCAGGGGAGAACGGAAUUCCUGGUGUAGCGGUGAAAUGCGCAGAUAUCAGGAGGAACACCGGUGGCGAAGGCGGUUCUCUGGGCAUUACCUGACGCUGAGGAGCGAAAGUGUGGGGAGCGA
rnacentral:rRNA from 1 species